UUCGUAGGGUGCGAGCGUUAAUCGGAAUUACUGGGCGGAAAGCGUGCGCAGGCGGGUCGUUGAGUUCGGUGGGAAAGCCCCGGGCUCAACCUGGGAAUGGCAAUGGAAACUGGCGAGCUUGAGUGUGGCAGAGGGGGGUGGAAUUCCGCGUGUAGCAGUGAAAUGCGUAGAGAUGCGGAGGAACACCGAUGGCGAAGGCAGCCCCCUGGGCCAACACUGACGCUCAGGCACGAAAGCGUGGGGAGCAAACAGG
rnacentral:rRNA from 1 species